rnacentral:lncRNA from 1 species
UAGCCCUAGAAAAAGGAUACAAACUACUUCCCAGGAUAUUUAAGCAACUUUCAGGAUAAAGGUCAGAAAUCUUUGCAAAUUCAUGAGAACAGAGGAAAUGCUACCAGAAGAUUGGAGCUGGACAAACAUCCUACAUUUCAAAUACAGAAAAAAAUGGGUAUUUCCAACUGAUGAGGGGUUUAUCUGGACACGACACAGCACCAUCCGAAGCAGAGGAGCAUCUGUACCAGGUUCUUGUACAGAACACAUGGCACACACAACUGUUUGUUCACUGACUUAAAAUCCAUGAUUGGCACCUGCUAUUAGUCUGGCUGGUGGCUCACACCUAUAAUCCUAACACUUUGGGAGGCCGAGGCAGAAGGACUGCUUGAGGCCAGGAGUUCAACACCAGCCUGGGCAAUAUAGCAAGACCCCCCUCUCUUCAAAAAAAUAAAAAUAAAAAUGAGCCAGGUGUGGUGGUGCAUGCCUGUAGUCCCAGCUACUCAGGAGGCUGAGGCAGAAAGAUCACUUAAGCCUGGGAGGUGGGAAGCUUCAGAGAGCUGUG